UACGUAGGGGGCAAGCGUUGUCCGGAUUUAUUGGGCGUAAAGAGCGUGUAGGCGGCUUUGCAGGUCCGCUGUGAAAACUCGAGGCUCAACCUCGAGCUGUCGGUGGAAACCGUAAAGCUAGAGUCCGGAAGAGGAGAGUGGAAUUCCCGGUGUAGCGGUGAAAUGCGCAGAUAUCGGGAAGAACACCAGUGGCGAAGGCGGCUCUCUGGGACGGUACUGACGCUGAGACGCGAAAGCGUGGGGAGCGAACAGG
rnacentral:rRNA from 1 species